rnacentral:rRNA from 1 species
CCUACGGGUGGCUGCAGUGAGGAAUAUUGGUCAAUGGACGAGAGUCUGAACCAGCCAAGUAGCGUGAAGGAUGACUGCCCUCUGGGUUGUAAACUUCUUUUAUAUGGGAAUAAAUUGUUCCACGUGUGGGAUUUUGUAUGUACCAUAUGAAUAAGGAUAGGCUAACUCGGUGACAGCAGCCGCGGUUAUACGGAGGAUCCGAGCGUGAUCCGGAGUUAUUGGGUUUAAAGGGCGCGUAGGUGGAUUGUUAAGCCAGUUGUGAAAGUUUGCGGCUCAACCGUAAAAUUGCAGUUGAAACUGGCAGGCUGGAGUACAGGAGAGGUGGGCGGAAUUCGUGGUGUAGCGGUGAAAUGCUUAGAUAUCACGAAGAACUCCGAUGGCGAAGGCAGCUCACUGGACUGCAACUGACACUGAGGCUCGAAAGUGUGGGUAUCAAACAGGAUUAGAUACCCCGGUAGUC